GGACAAAAGUCAAAUAACAAUUGUGGAAUUGGAAUGCAAAUGGUGGUAGUCUCGUACUCUCAUGUGAUGUUCAGCCGUGAAGGAAGAGAGGCCCAAGGCUUUGGGCCUUGUCUUGCGUGAGCCCAACAGAAGAUAGAACAAGUCAAGUGGCCAUUGGGUCAGAUCUAGCUCGAGCCCAAAGGAAGAAAUAGGGCAUCGGCCCUCUUUGUUUUGUUUGUACGCAGCCGAGAAACAACAUCACGCAAACUAUAUAUAGUUUAAGCAGCUCAACAUUAAUUAUCCCUAGCAGAAGAAAAAAAAAAGGCAGCCGCCUCUUUUGGUUUCGUGCUAACAAGAGGAAGUAGCCGCAAGUGAAGGAGAAAUAACUGCAGCCACAACUUUGUUCGUCACUUCAGAAUAGCCGCAAGCCUUUAACUUUCGUUUGAUCUAUCCUAUUAUUAUUACUCUUUUAUUAUUAUUAUUAUUAUUAUUAUUAUUAUUAUUAGGGUUACUUUAUUACAAACUUAUUUUAUAUGAUAAUUUUUUUUAUGAAUUUAUUUAUAUUAAUAAUUGUUUGGUUUAAUUAUUUGUCAUGAGUAGUCAGAUAGUUUUAUAUCUAUUUGGAUAAUGCGAUCAUGCCGUGAUAUUUUAUAUUAGAUUGUCGCAAAUCCAUGUUUAUUAAGUCAGACAAAUAUUAUUAGUUUUCAUAUACAAACUGAUUUGUUGAUUUGUUUGGGAGGAUUUGAUUCGGUCUUCCUUGAGUCAUCAAUCUGUUUUGCGAAACAUUAAUUGGUCGAUAAUUAAUGUGUUCUCCUGACUUGUAACCGAGUGGGGAAUGGUUAAUUAAUAUUUUGGUUCAACUGAGCUUGUGUUUUAUUAUAUUGUUUUAGUUGAUGCGACAAACGAAAAUCAGAUUCAGGUGACUAGAAUAGUUAGCGUCUAUAAAAUUUAAUUAGGACCCACACUUACUUAAAAGAUUAAGUUAUAGUUACAAAACUUAGGUUUUUUAUACAUAACAGUGAAUCUAAAGGUAAUUUGUUUAUAGGGUAGUGUGAGUCUAACGACAGCUCUACAACAAAGUUUAGUGAAUCUAAUGAGAAUCCAAACGUGAAAAGAGUUGUUCAACAAAUCUAAACAGUUUUCUAAAUGAUCAUGGCAUGUGAACUGUUCCAAGUAGAUGCAACUUUUUAAUUAUUACUGUUUUAAAUCAUUUUUCAUCACCGUUUUCAGACGAUCUUUGCCCCGGUAUACCGAAUUCCAUUGUCUUUUAUUAUUACUAGUUAAGCAUUUUGACAACUCGGUUGCAAAACCUCCCAACAAAUCCUAGAGUUACACCUCGCUACUUUCUUAGACAUGGUCCUUGCGAACGAUCUUGGUUUACAAUUCUAUGAACAAACGAGUCUAUUGCCCGUGAGUGAGUAUAGUAGAGAAGUUAACCUUGUACUUUUAUAAACUUAGAACUUGUUAAAUUAAGUUACCAAAUCUCUAACGCAUCACAUUCAAAUCGGGUUACUUGAUGCCCCAUUUAUGAUAAUCGUUAAUAAAACCCCAACAAAAGUCAUGGGCUGAUGAUGAAGCCUAUAUUGAUUUGAAGGUCACCUAAAGAAUCUCGGGAGACUUUAGAUGAGUUAAGACAAAUUCUGAAAGGAGCAAGAGGCAACAUAUAAAGAAGAUAAGCCAUAGAGAGAAAUUGGGGAUCUUCAAAAACUAUACCACGUGUCUUCAGCUAUAAAAACAAUUUUUCUCUCUUAUUUUUUUUAAUUUUUACACAACUUAAUGCAACAAUUUGUAUCGUGAGUCUUCUGGUAAGCUUGGAUAUGAAUAAAUUGACACAAUUUCCUGAGUCUGGCCUUUUUUGAGCGAGAUAGAGGCUACGGGGUCAGAGGGUUGUUUCCUUUUUUCAUGUUUAAUGUUUCCAAUUGUUUCCUUGUUUGGACUUUUUAAUAAGCCCCCUAUUGUUUCCUUGGUAAUAAGAAACAUCUGCUACUAAGGUAGAAGCGAGCAAUGCUUUGGAUAGCAUAUUUAGAAAAUGCAUUCAGGUCCUCCAUUUAUUGUAUAUUGUUAUAUUUAUUUUUCAUCCCCCUAUUAUCAGCAUUGCAGCCAUUGCUGAUAUUUAAAUUAACAGAAAGCAGACGGAAAAGCCACAGAAGCAGAGGCAAACGCAGCACAAAAGCAGGGUAAAUAAAGCGUGCUGCCUGUAUGCACAUAAUAAAAGGACUAUCUCGCAUACAUGAUUUAGAAGUUCAGGAGACUGAUAGUGGGCUAUUUAUCCAAGUUCAAAUACUAACAAGAUCUCUUGAAGAAGAAAACCAAAAAGCUGUAGAAAGUAGGCAGAAGUACCUGGCACUAAUAAUAAAGGUCGAUACAUUGUAUAGAAUGAAGGCAGAGCUGGAAGCACUAACCCACAGACACACUGAAGUAUUGGAAUUGAUGAGUCAACGUUAAGAGGAGGUACAUUUGACCAGUUCCCUUGACUGCUGUUUUAUAAUUUAGGCCAUUUGACCUUUAUGAGAUAAAACAGAACCCAAGUUGACCAACUUCUAGUUAAAUGUGCCAAAAGCGCCACCUUUGCAUAAUCGUCGCAUAUUGUUUGUUAUUUGUUUCAUGUAAUUUAAAAAAUUGUAGUAUGAUAUAGAGGUCAUGAAGGAGAUACAUAAAGAACAACUAAACUUUCUUACACAA